rnacentral:rRNA from 1 species
GACGAACGCUGGCGGCGUGCCUAAUACAUGCAAGUAGAACGCUGAAGGAGGAGCUUGCUCUUCUGGAUGAGUUGCGAACGGGUGAGUAACGCGUAGGUAACCUGCCUGGUAGCGGGGGAUAACUAUUGGAAACGAUAGCUAAUACCGCAUAACAGUAGAUGUUGCAUGACAUUUACUUAAAAGGUGCAAUUGCAUCACUACCAGAUGGACCUGCGUUGUAUUAGCUAGUUGGUGGGGUAACGGCUCACCAAGGCGACGAUACAUAGCCGACCUGAGAGGGGGAUCGGCCACACUGGGACUGAGACACGGCCCAGACUCCUACGGGAGGCAGCAGUAGGGAAUCUUCGGCAAUGGACGGAAGUCUGAACGAGCAACGCCGCGGGAGUGAAGAAGGUUUUCGGAUCGUAAAGCUCCGGUGUAAGAGAAGAACGAGUGGGAGAGGGGAAAGUUCACACUGUGACGGUAUCUUACCAGAAAGAGACGGCUAACUACGUG